UACUCGAGUGGCGAACGGGUGAGUAACACGUGGGUGAUCUGCCCUGCACUUCGGGAUAAGCCUGGGAAACUGGGUCUAAUACCGGAUAGGAGCCAUUUUUAGUGUGAUGGUUGGAAAGUUUUUUCGGUGUAGGAUGAGCUCGCGGCCUAUCAGCUUGUUGGUGGGGUAAUGGCCUACCAAGGCGGCGACGGGUAGCCGGCCUUAGAGGGUGGACGGCCACAUUGGGACUGAGAUACGGCCCAG
rnacentral:rRNA from 1 species